UUUCCGUAGGUGAACCUGCGGAAGGAUCAUUCAUAAUAAAGUGUUUUAUGGCACUUUUUAAAAAUCCAUAUCCACCUUGUGUGCAAUGUUAGAUCUCGUCAAUCUUGGCGAGAUUUUUAUACAUCAACUCAUUCUUUAACUAAUUUGUCUGAAAAAUAUUAUGAUUACUUAAUUCAAAAUACAACUUUCAACAACGGAUCUCUUGGCUCUC
rnacentral:misc_RNA from 1 species